rnacentral:rRNA from 1 species
GUAGGUGGCAAGCGUUGUCCGGAAUUAUUGGGCGUAAAGCGCGCGCAGGCGGUUCUUUAAGUCUGAUGUGAAAGCCCACGGGCUCAACCGUGGAGGGUCAUUGGAAACUGGAGAACUUGAGUACAGAAGAGGAAAGCGGAAUUCCACGUGUAGCGGUGAAAUACGUAGAGAUGUGGAGGAACACCAGUGGCGAAGGCGGCUUUCUGGUCUGUAACUGACGCUGAGGCGCGAAAGCGUGGGGAGCAAACAGGAUUAGAUACCCUGGUAGUCCACGCCGUAAACGAUGAGUGCUAAGUGUUAGGGGGGUUUCCGCCCCUUAGUGCUGCAGCUAACGCAUUAAGCACUCCGCCUGGGGAGUACGGCCGCAAAGGCUG